rnacentral:tRNA from 1 species
GGAGAGGUGCUCGAGUGGUUUAAGAGGCACGCUUGGAAAGCGUGUGAACUUCAAAAGGGUUCCGGGGGUUCGAAUCCCUUCUUCUCCGC